rnacentral:rRNA from 1 species
UACGUAGGCAGCGAGCGUUGUUUGGAAUUACUGGGCGUAAAGAGUGUGUAGGCGGUGCUCCCAGUCUGUUGUGAAAUCUCCCGGCUUAACUGGGAGGGUGCAGCGGAAACUAGAGUGCUAGAGGGUGGGAGAGGUAAGCGGAAUUCCUGGUGUAGCGGUGAAAUGCGCAGAUAUCAGGAGGAACACCGAUGGCGAAGGCAGGUCUCUGGGCAUUAACUGACGCUGAGGAGCGAAAGCAUGGGGAGCGAACAGG